UACGGAGGGCGCAAGCGGUGUUCGGAAUCACUGGGCGUAAAGCGCGUGUAGGCGGCUUGGCAAGUCGGGUGUGAAAUCCCGGGGCUCAACCCCGGAACUGCAUUCGAUACUGCCUGGCUCGAGUCUCGGAGAGGGUGGCGGAAUUCCCGGUGUAGAGGUGAAAUUCGUAGAUAUCGGGAGGAACACCAGCGGCGAAGGCGGCCACCUGGACGGUGACUGACGCUGAGACGCGAAAGCGUGGGGAGCAAACAGG
rnacentral:rRNA from 1 species